AGGUACAGACAGUCAAGAAGCCCAAGGCUGAAUCAAUUCAGUCUUUGCAGGUUAGUCUAAGUGGUACCAAUUAAAUUGAAAUAGAAAUGAAUAGACGUUUACCUUUGAUUAAGGAAAUGCAGCCAUAUGCCUGCACCCCUCACCCCUGUCAGA